UACGUAGGUGGCAAGCGUUGUCCGGAUUUACUGGGCGUAAAGAGCGCGCAGGCGGUCGUACAAGUCGCGUGUGAAAGCCCCCGGCUCAACUGGGGAGGGUCACGCGAUACUGUUCGACUCGAAGGCAGGAGAGGGAAGCAGAAUUCCCGGUGUAGUGGUGAAAUGCGUAGAUAUCGGGAGGAAUACCGGUGGCGAAGGCGGGUCUCUGGGCCGAUAUUGACGCUGAGGAGCGAAAGCGUGGGGAGCGAACAGG
rnacentral:rRNA from 1 species